GGCAGAAAACAAAAAAGAAGCAGGUUUCUGAAGUUUACUCUUAAUUGCACCCACUGUAGAAGAUGGAAUCAUGGAUGCUGCUAAUUUUGAGCAGUUUUUGCAAGAGGGGAUCAAAGUGAAUGGAAAAGCUGGGAAUCUAGGUGGAGGACCAAGAGCAAGAUCACCAUGACUUCUGAGGUGACUUUUUCCUAAAGGUAUUUGAAAUAUCUCACAAAAAAAUUUUGAAGAAGAAUAAUCUGUGUGAUUGGUUGCACGUAGUUGCUAACAGCGAAGAAAGUUAUGAAUUACGUUACUUCCAAAUUAGCCAGGACAAAUAGGAGGAAGAUGAGGAUUAA
rnacentral:lncRNA from 1 species